AUCGCGCCGGUGCUCUGUCACGUCAAAGUGGAUAAAGGUCUGGACCAGUUGAGAGGCAAAAUGGUUGGGAUCUGACUCUACCAGGUGUAGCUGUGAGAACAGAAGACGGAGAGUGUGGCCUCCUCUGCCAGACCAGCCCUCUCUCCUCCCUUCCCUGCUCACCAGCCCACAGGCCAUGACACACAAGGAUUGUUUGGAGGAACUGGGCGUGUGGAGGACGAAGAAGAGAAGAGAAAGCUUGGGUGGGUGAGGAGGAAGGACUGCCAGCUUUGAGGAUCUGAAGGAUCAGCCACAGGUAAAGUGGCUGAGGUUCGCCCUUGGGGCCUCGGGAGAGCUGACCUGGGAGCUAUCGGGAGGGGCAGCAGGGAGGAAGAUUUGGGCUCAGAAAUGCCUGAGUGCAGUGGACUGCUGCAGGAAGUCAUGAGUUCCCCAGCACUGGAGGUCUGCCAGCAGACACUGGAGGUGUCCUCGGGAGAUGUAGAGGAAAGUCCUGUUCAGCAGGGGUUAGACUCAGACGCCUCUGAGGUUAUCUCUCACUCUGAAGCCCUGGGAGUCUAGGAUUCUGUCUUUCUAGCAUCAGCCUCCUCAAAGGCCCAGCUACAGCCCCUCUUCCACCCGUCUAUGGACGCUUCUCCUUCAGAAUGCCUUAUCUGUCAGCGUGAUAGCAAAGCUGUUUCCUGGGCAGAUGACCUGAAGGAGGAGGCCUUCCUUCAGGCCUGCCUGCUGUGACUGCACCUCUGUAAAAGGACAGGGUUAGAUGGGACUUCUCGGAUUUGUCAGUAGAUGAAUAGGGGUGGGAGGGAAGGACUCGAAUCGUCCUUGGGGCCACGCAAAACCAGGUGCCCUAGAUGUCAAACUGUGGGACACCCUUUGGACAGUUACCUUUCUCUUGGUCCCGCCCACAACAGAUCAGCCAACCCCAGCGCCCAGGGUUCUCCUCCCUCUAUUGUUCCACGG